GAUGAACGCUGGCGGCGUGCCUAACACAUGCAAGUCGAGCGAAGCGAUUUAGCGGAAGUUUUCGGAUGGAAGUUAAAUUGACUGAGCGGGCGACGGUGAAGUACGCUGGUAACGUGCCUCAUACAGGGGAUAACAGUUAGAAAUGACUGCUAAUACCGCAUAAGCGCACAGCAUCGCAUGAUGCAGUGUGAAAAACUCCGGUGGUAUGAGAUGGACCCGCGUCUGAUUAGGUAGUUGGUGGGGUAACGGCCUACCAAGCCGACGAUCAGUAGCCGACCUGAGAGGGUGACCGGCCACAUUGGGACUGAGACACGGCCCAA
rnacentral:rRNA from 1 species